rnacentral:rRNA from 1 species
CCUACGGGUGGCAGCAGUGAGGAAUAUUGGUCAAUGGGCGCGAGCCUGAACCAGCCAAGUAGCGUGAAGGAUGACUGCCCUACGGGUUGUAACCUUCUUUUAUAAAGGAAUACAGUGAGGCACGUGUGCCUUUUUGUACGUACUUUAUGAAUACGGAUCGGCCAAAUGCGUGCCAGCGGCCGCGGUUAUACGGAGUAUCCGAGCGUUAACCGGAUUUAAUGGGUUUAAAGGGAGCGUAGUUGGGUGGUUAAGUCAGGUGCGAAAGUUUGCGGUUCAACACUACAAUUGCAAUUGAGACUGGCAGCCUUGAGUAGAGUUGAGGUAGGCGGAAUUCGUGGUGUAGCGGUGAAAUGCUUAGAUAUCACGAAGAACGCCGAGUGCGAAGGCAGCCUACUAAACUGUCACUGACAGUGAUGCUCGAAAGUGUGGGUAGCAAACAGGAUUAGAUACCCGAGUAGUC